UACGUAGGAGGCAAGCGUUGUCCGGAUUUAUUGGGCGUAAAGAGCGCGCAGGCGGCACACCAAGUACGAAGUGAAAUCUCCCUGCUCAACGGGGAGGGUGCUUUGUAAACUGGUGAGCUAGAGGACGGUAGAGGGGGGUAGAAUUUCCGGUGUAGCGGUGAAAUGCGUAGAUAUCGGAAGGAACACCUGUGGCGAAAGCGGCUCACUGGACCAUAACUGACGCUGAGGCGCGAAAGCUAGGGGAGCAAACAGG
rnacentral:rRNA from 1 species